UCCCUGGUGGUCUAGUGGUUAGGAUUCAGCACUUUCACUGCUGCUGCCUGGGGUUCCAUCCCUGGUCUGGGAA
rnacentral:tRNA from 1 species